rnacentral:rRNA from 1 species
CAGAGGGUGCAAACGUUGUUCGGAAUUACUGGGCGUAAAGCGCGUGUAGGCGGCACGGCAUGUCGGAUGUGAAAUCCCAUGGCUCAACCAUGGAAGUGCACCCGAAACUGCCGAGCUGGAGUCUCGGAGAGGAAGGCGGAAUGCUUGGUGUAGAGGUGAAAUUCGUAGAUAUCAAGCGGAACACCGGUGGCGAAGGCGGCCUUCUGGACGAUGACUGACGCUGAGACGCGAAAGCGUGGGGAGCAAACAGG